rnacentral:rRNA from 1 species
UACGUAGGGUGCAAGCGUUGUCCGGAAUUAUUGGGCGUAAAGAGCUCGUAGGCGGUUUGUCGCGUCUGCUGUGAAGACUGGGGGCUCAACCCCCAGCCUGCAGUGGGUACAGGCAGACUAGAGUGCGGUAGGGGAGAUUGGAAUUCCUGGUGUAGCGGUGGAAUGCGCAGAUAUCAGGAGGAACACCGAUGGCGAAGGCAGAUCUCUGGGCCGUAACUGACGCUGAGGAGCGAAAGCAUGGGGAGCGAACAGG